CUCCUCCCCGGAAGCGGCCACACCCAGGCGAGUGUAAACAAUGGCGGUGGAAGUUUUCAAGAGGCCCGAGAAGGAGACAGACCUCGCAACCUCUGAGGAUGUGGGAGAAACUCAGGAGAGAAUGCUUCUGGAACAUGGCCAUGAAAAACCCACAGCAACUCAUUACUUCCAUGGACUCUAACAGACAGUGGCCAUGCAAGGAGCCUGCUCUCCGUGCACAGACAGGAAACCGUGGAGAGCUUCUGCCUUCACUGAUAACUCUCCCUCUAACAAUUUGGGGCCCUGAGGAAAAUAAAUACCACAGGUCGCCUUUUGAAAAGAAAAAAAACAAAACCCAGCAACAACUUGCUCUCCUAUCUCCCUGGAUACGGGGUCCUUUCGGAUCCAGGCUCCUUCCUUCCUGCUUUGGAGAGCCAGUUCACGCGCCGCCCCUUACUCACCGGUGAAUCAUUCCCAAGGCUUCAUGAGAGCGGCAAAGGGAUCAGGCGCUGCGUCACUCCUGCCUCCCUCUUCCCAGAUGCCCUCUACUUUCCCCCCUUGUUCCUUGGCAUCAAAACAUGCCACCAGAUAUUUCCCACACCAUACACUUGCAGCAGUCCUGGGGAGCUUUUAAGUGGAAGUUGGGCAUUGCCACAUCAGUACAUCCUAUUAUUAUUAUUAUUAUUAUUAUUAUUAUUAUUAUUAUUAUUAUUAUUAUUAUUAUUGUAUGACACAGCAAACAAGAUAGAUAUGCUGGAUUUCGUAUCACAAAAUCACAAGUCAAACACUUCCCAAGUGUCUAGGACUGUGUGGUGUAUUAUUAUUAUUAUUAUUAUUAUUAUUAUUAUUAUUAUUAUUAUUAUUAUUAUUGUAUAACACAGCAAACAAGACAGACAUGCUGGAUUUCGUAUCACAAAAUCACAAGUCAAACACUUCCCAAGUGUCUAGGACUGUGUGAUGUGUUGUUGUUGUUGUUGUUGUUGUUGUUGUUGUAUGACACAGCAAACAAGACAGACAUGCUGGAUUUCGUAUCACAAAAUCACAAGUUGAACACUUCCCAAGUGGGUUGUUGUGUGUCUUUCGGGCUGUGUGGCCAUGUUCCAGAAGUAUUCUCUCCUGACGUUUCGCCCACAUCUAUGGCAGGCAUCCUCAGAGGUUGUGAGGUAGACACUUCCCAAGUGUCUAGGACUGUGUGAUGUAUUUUCGGAUGAUGUGUGCAGAUCCCAGUCGGGUGGCCUUUUGCAGUUGGCAGAUCGUAAUUUUGUCAAUGUCUAUUGUUUCCAAAUGCCGGCUGAGAUCUUUUGGCACAGCACCCAGUGUGCCCAUCACCACCGGGACCACCUGCACUGGUUUCUGCCAGAGUCUUUGAAGUUCAAUCUUGAGGUCCUGAGAGCGGCUGAGUUUUUCCUGUUGUUUUUCGUUAUUAGAUUAUUUGAAGUUCAAUCUUGAGGUCCUGAUACCUGAUAUUAUUAUUGUUGUUGUUAUUAUUGACACAACAACGUUGUAUGACACAGCAAACAAGAUAGAUAUGCUGGAUUUCGUUUCACAAAACCACAAGUUGAACACUUCCCAAGUGUCUAGGACUGUGUGAUGUAUUUUCGGAUGAUGCGUGCAGAUUUUUGUUGUUAUUAUUACUAUUAUUAUUAUUCUCAGGUAUAGGGCAGGAUAUGAACAUCUGGAGUGUUUUAGUCUUUGUGUUUAUUUGAAUUCCAAUCAUAUUCUGUUAAUUGUUGUAAGUUGUUAUUUUAUGUUACUUGGUCUUGCUCAUUGAUUUUGGCAAACUUUUUUUGUAUUUUAUAUGAUCUAUAUUGCACUUUUGUUGUCACGUAAGCCACCCUGAAUCUUUUUUUGGGAGAUGGUGGCGGGAUAUAAAUAAAGUGGUUUAUUAUUAUUAUUAUUUCAGUAGAGUCUCACUUAUCCAACAUAAAUGGGCUGGCAGAAUGUUGGAUAAGAAAAUAUGUUGGAUAAUAAGGAGGGAUUAAGAAAAAGCCCAUUAAACAUCAAAAUAGGUUAUGAUUUUACCAAUUAAGCACCAAAACAUCAUGUUAUACAACAAAUUUGACAGAAAAAGUAGUUCAAUAUGCAGUAAUGCUAUGUAGUAAUUACUGUGUUUACGAAUUUAGCACCAAAAUAUCACAAUGUAUUGAAAACACUGACUACAGAAAUGUGUUGGAUAAUCCAGAACGUUGGAUAAGCGAGUGUUGGAUAAGUGAGACUCUACUGUAUUAUUAUUAUUAUUACUACUACUACUACUACUACUACUACUAUUUGAAACACAACAAGAUGAGUUCACAGCAGACAGUCUGCUGGCUGAUGUAUUGGAUCACACGUCAGACACUUCUCAAUUAUUAUUAUUAUUAUUAUUAUUAUUAUUAUUAUUAUUAUGGGGCCCCCGGUGGCGCAGCGUGUUAAAGCGCUGAGCUGCUGAACUUGCUGACUAAAUGGUUGCCAGGUUCGAAUCUGGAGAACCAGGUGAGCUCCCACUAUUAGCCCCAGCUUUUGCCAACCUAGCAGUAUGAAAACAUGCAAAUGUGAGUAGAAACAUUGCACUAUAUUCCUCUGCCCCAAAGCAUUUUAGAAUUUAACACUGUAUUUUAGUUCUAGUGGUCCCUCCAGGCCAUCCUCUCCUCCAUCCCAGUGGUCUUUUUGUUUUUUCUUUUCAGAUUCAUAUGUUAUUUGAGUGAUUAUAUUCCUUCUGUUUAUGUGAUUGUUUUAGUCAAUUGUUAUGUUUUGUUUUUGUUUUUAAUUCUUAUAGCGUUGUAUAGUGUUUUCAGUGUUUUACUGUACAAUGUUUUAUGCUGAUUUUAUAUUGGAAACUGCCCUGAGUCCCUUUCGGGAGAGAGGGUGGGAUACAAAUAAACUUUUACUUACUUACUA